AUUGAACUACUGGCGGAAUGCUUUACACAUGCAAGUCGAACGGCAGCAUACGGGGGCAACCCUGGUGGCGAGUGGCGAACGGGUGAGUAAUACAUCGGAACGUGCCCAGUCGUGGGGGAUAACGUAGCGAAAGCUACGCUAAUACCGCAUACGAUCUGUGGAUGAAAGCGGGGGACCGUAAGGCCUCGCGCGAUUGGAGCGGCCGAUGGCAGAUUAGGUAGUUGGUGGGGUAAAGGCCUACCAAGCCGACGAUCUGUAGCUGGUCUGAGAGGACGACCAGCCACACUGGGACUGAGACACGGCCCAGACUCCUACGGGAGGCAGCAGUGGGGAAUUUUGGACAAUGGGCGCAAGCCUGAUCCAGCCAUUCCGCGUGUCAGGAUGAAGGCUCUCGGGUUGUAAACUGCUUUUGUGCGGAACGAAAAGGCGCGGGUUAAUACCCUGUGCUGAUGACGGUACCGUAAGAAUAAGCACCGGCUAACUACGUGCCAGCAGCCGCGGUAAUACGUAGGGUGCAAGCGUUAAUCGGAAUUACUGGGCGUAAAGCGUGCGCAGGCGGUUUUGUAAGACAGGUGUGAAAUCCCCGGGCUUAACCUGGGAACUGCAUUUGUGACUGCAAGGCUGGAGUGCGGCAGAGGGGGAUGGAAUUCCGCGUGUAGCAGUGAAAUGCGUAGAUAUGCGGAGGAACACCGAUGGCGAAGGCAAU
rnacentral:rRNA from 1 species